ensembl:lncRNA
GUUAGGCCUGGCCCUGCCCACCAUCUGUAGUCCACAGUGCUCAGAUACCUCAGGCCAAACAAGUACCUGGGGGGCGACAGGGCCCCCCUGCUAGCAGACAGGUGCCUGAAGACUAGUGAGCCCACACCUGCAUCUGGACACAGACCGAGACAGAGCCCAGCACCCCAGACAGCCAUAUAUCUACAAAUGUGACCCUGGGAGGUGGGGACUUCGCGAGAGUGUUUCCUACGGGGGUGCAAGCUAUAAAGAGAAGAAUGCUGGGCCAAGGAAGAGAGACCAAGAUCCGUUCACCUUGAGCAGAUCACUUUUCUUUCCUGUGCAUUAGUGUCCCUAUCUAUAAAAUGAAGGAAAGGAGGAUUCCUGCCCAGCAUACAUAAUAUACAGAGAAAAGGAAAAGAUCUCCCUGGAGCCUACCCAGAUAAUCCAAGAUGAUCACUCCAUCUCAAGAUCCUUGGUUUAAUCCCAUCUGGAAAGCCUCCCAUUCUUUACCAUAUAAGGUGGUUCACAGAUAUCUUCAAGCCCCGCUGUGCUUCAUGACUACAUUUUUAGGCGCCAUCCUGGAUGUGUUGCUGUCCAUGGUGCUGAAGCCUCAUUGAGCCAAAGAGUCAAUUAAGUUUUGGUGCCUGGAAGCAAAGGGUGGGGCUGGAUGACCCAUGAGAUCUUCCUCCCCAGAAGGACUCUUGGACUAAGCCAUAGGAAGAUCCUAAAUUAGAGGAGAGAGCUGUUGGGGAGUGAAGAAAGAAGACUUAACCUGCCAAAGCCUCAGUAAGGCUAGAAAAACAAGACUCUUGCCAGAAAAGGUUUUUCUGUCCUGAGGGAAUUGCAUAACAGCAGGGUAAUUUAUAUAUACAAAUAUAUGUAUGAAUAUAUGUGCGUACACACACACACACACACACAUAUAUGCUUUGUGAUAUUUGUGCAGACUUAACACACAGCAUGAAAGCUUAAAGCCAACAAGCGAAAUUUAGUUAGCACGGCAUCCCUUAUUCUCAAUUUAUUAUUUCACCAGGGACUCAUGCAGGCUGCAGGCCUGGAGAAGUGGUGGCGGAGAGAGAGCCAGCAACCCAGGCACCAGUUGAAUUAUGUGUCACAAUUUAUAAACCAUUACGUGCUGUG